rnacentral:rRNA from 1 species
GACGAACGCUGGCGGCGUGCCUAACACAUGCAAGUCGAACGGAAAGGCCCUGCUUUUGUGGGGUGCUCGAGUGGCGAACGGGUGAGUAUCACGUGUGUAACCUGCUCUUGACUUUGGGAUAACUUCAGGUAACUGGGGCUAAUCCCGGAUAGGAUCUCCCGCACCAUGGUGGGCGUUGGAACGUUUCGGCGGUUGGGGAUGGAUUGGCGGCUUAUCAGCUUGCUGGUGGGGUAGUGGCUUGCCAAGGCUGUGACGGGUAGCCGACCUGAGAGGGUGACCGGGCACAUUAGGACUGAGAGACGGCGCAGUCUGCUACGGGAGGCAACAGUGGGGAGUAUUACACAGUGGGCGGAAGCCUGAUGAGACGACGCCGCGUGCGGGAAGACGUCCUUCGGGUUGAAAACCGCAUUCGCCUGAGACGAAGCGGGAGUGACGGUACUGGGUAAAGAAGCACCGGCUAACUACGUG